CCCGUUGAAACACCGCUUCUCGUACGAUCACCGAAGUUAAGUAAUGUCGUUCCUGGCUAAUACCUAGAUGGGUGACCGCUCGGAAAUACCAGGUGUUGUAAG